CAGCAUUUAAGUCGUGUUUUGCUUUAAGUAAACGACAUGAAAAGCAUACUAGAGCUGUUAUCCAGAUAACUAAUUUCCAAUGGUCAGAAGAAUGUGUUUAGGUUAAUUUGUUUGCUUGGAUAUUGCUAUAUACUUCUGUAUGUAAAUCUACCCUAUUUCUCUCCAUUUAUAGGAAAAGCAACUCUGGAGCAAACCAUGACAAUGUACGUCAAAGGAACUCUAGCUGAGUCACAAAGGUGACGAUGGAGAGCAGAGGGAACAAUUUCCAUGUACUUUGUUCCAGAAGAGAUCCUUAGUAUAUACCGGUCUUCUUUGUGCCACUCGGCAUCAAUCACCACCAUCGGCCUCCCCUCGUUCUUUCUGCUUGCUGUCAGAUUUGUAUUUUCAGUGUUCUCCUUUUUUAACAUGACAUUAAACUAGCUUUAUUAUGUUUAGAAGCAAAAAUAAGACCAUGUUGCUGCCUUGUGCACUCUAUUUUAUCAUCACUUCCUGACAGCUGAUCAGGUUGAGGCCAGGCACUUAAGUUGGUGCCUAGGCCAUCAGAUUGCUGUCUGGUAGUUAUGUUCUCUCAUUAUUACUACAAUAAAAUUUACCUUUUGACAUUGCCUUGUCUUACUGCUGGAGCAUGUUUCUUUCAGCAACUAAGCCAGCCUGUUUACUUGAGCAGGUUGUCCCCAUGCAUUAUAGUAACAUAUUUUGCGAUAUCUGUCCUUGGGUUUUAAGUGCAUCUUUUUUUUUUUUUUUAUAAAGCUAAUUCAAAAUGCCUGUUUAUUUACAGUUCUUGAUUUCCCAUCUAUAUGAAAGUACUGACAAGCCAUUGGUCUCUUACUAGAUUUAUAUGGCAUGUUUUAAGUACUGCCCUAUCACUGUAUGCACAAUGAGCGCAGCUUUGUGUAAAUUAUAAAAUUCCCCCUGUAUUAUGUAAUAUCUUAUUGUAGAUUGCCAUGUGUUGCGCAAGGUGAAUGACUGUUUUGUGUGGCUUUUUUUUCUUUUUUAGUUUAUGUGCAUGGAAGACUGAAUUGAUUUUUGGGUAAAGAAUAAUAAAGGGUAUGUUCAGCACAUUUUGAUUUAUAAGUCUUGGUUUUUCUGCAACACUGGAUUGUAAAAUUGUAUGUGAAGAAAAUUAAACAAAUAAAAUGUUUCUCCCUUUUA